AAGACUAUAGACCUGCGGAGUACCUGCGGAGGGAUCAUUAAAGAGAUUUUGAUUUUAAAUCUCCACCCGAUGAUAUAGUUGUAUAAGAAGUUUUGGUAGGACGUUUGGAAUUAACCAACGAUUGAUAAGAAUCUAUAGAAUCUAUUAAUCUGUGCCUACCAAUAGUAAAACUCAAUUUAAUUUGUAGUCUGAGACUAAAAUAAUAAAUUAAAACUUUCAACAAUGGAUCUCUAGAUCGGA
rnacentral:misc_RNA from 1 species